rnacentral:rRNA from 1 species
GAUGAACGCUAGCGGCAGGCCUAAUACAUGCAAGUCGAACGGUGUAGCAAUACACAGUGGCGCACGGGUGCGUAACACGUAUGCAACCUACCUAUUAUUGGGGGAUAGCCUUUGGAAACGGAGAUUAAUACCGCAUAAGACAGUGACAUGGCAUCAUGUAGCUGUUAAAGCUUCGGCUAUAAUAGAUGGGCAUGCGUCCAAUUAGUUAGUUGGUGAGGUAAUGGCUCACCAAGACGAUGAUUGGUAGGGGAUCUGAGAGGAUAAUCCCCCACACUGGCACUGAGAUACGGGCCAGACUCCUACGGGAGGCAGCAGUAGGGAAUAUUGGGCAAUGGGCGGAAGCCUGACCCAGCCACGCCGCGUGCAGGAUGACGGCGUUAUGCGUUGUAAACUGCUUUUUUAUAGGAAGAAGAAGCCCUUGCGAGGGAAAGUGACGGUACUAUAAGAAUAAGCACCGGCUAACCCCGUGCCAGCCGCCGCGGUAAGAC